UACUUAGAAAGGAAUAACUUAAUAGAUACCAUGGUGCAGAAGGCAGGGUGUACAAUUUCUCCUGUGAUAGGUUGGUUUUUGGCCUAGUAAUGCCAGCACCCAGUUUUCCUCUUCAGGGACGCUCCACUCUCUGUCUCUGUCUAGCAGGCACACACCUGGAGAUGAUUGCCUCAUUGUCUCCCUCAUUGAGAGCUGAUAUACAGCGAGCACUCAAGCUCUCUCUUGAUGCAUUUUUUGUCUAGUGUGGCUAGGAAAUAUGUUGGUCUCCUGGAAGGCACUUUAAGCACCCGUUACAAGAACCUGUAGAGUGGAUGACCUGUGUUCAUGCUGGAGCUCACCACAGGGAUGGCAUUUUGUGCAUCAAGUGAUAUCCUGAGUUUGUCCUGAAAAUCCUGUUAUUGUAUGUGAGUGGAGCCAGAUCUGGGUUGAUUAGAUAGCCUACUGCAUUGUCCCAG